rnacentral:rRNA from 1 species
UACGAAGGGAGCUAGCGUUGUUCGGAAUCACUGGGCGUAAAGCGCACGUAGGCGGAUUGCUAAGUCAGGGGUGAAAUCCUGGAGCUCAACUCCAGAACUGCCCUUGAUACUGGUGAUCUUGAGUCCGGGAGAGGUGAGUGGAACUGCGAGUGUAGAGGUGAAAUUCGUAGAUAUUCGCAAGAACACCAGUGGCGAAGGCGGCUCACUGGCCCGGUACUGACGCUGAGGUGCGAAAGCGUGGGGAGCAAACAGG